GGUGAUCUAGCCAUGGGCAGGUUGAAGGUUGGGUAACACUAACUGGAGGACCGAACCGACUAAUGUUGAAAAAUUAGCGGAUGACUUGUGGCUGGGGGUGAAAGGCCAAUCAAACCGGGAGAUAGCUGGUUCUCCCCGAAAGCUAUUUAGGUAGCGCCUCGUGAAUUCAUCUCCGGGGGUAGAGCACUGUUUCGGCAAGGGGGUCAUCCCGACUUACCAACCCGAUGCAAACUGCGAAUACCGGAGAAUGUUAUCACGGGAGACACACGGCGGGUGCUAACGUCCGUCGUGAAGAGGGAAACAACCCAGACCGCCAGCUAAGGUCCCAAAGUCAUGGUUAAGUGGGAAACGAUGUGGGAAGGCCCAGACAGCCAGGAUGUUGGCUUAGAAGCAGCCAUCAUUUAAAGAAAGCGUAAUAGCUCACUGGUCGAGUCGGCCUGCGCGGAAGAUGUAACGGGGCUAAACCAUGCACCGAAGCUGCGGCAGCGACACUAUGUGUUGUUGGGUAGGGGAGCGUUCUGUAAGCCUGUGAAGGUGGCCUGUGAGGGUUGCUGGAGGUAUCAGAAGUGCGAAUGCUGACAUAAGUAACGAUAAAGCGGGUGAAAAGCCCGCUCGCCGGAAGACCAAGGGUUCCUGUCCAACGUUAAUCGGGGCAGGGUGA
rnacentral:rRNA from 1 species